rnacentral:lncRNA from 1 species
CGGCGGCGGAGGCGGCGGCGGCUCGGCAGGCGGGUUGAAGCUUCGGGGGCCAGGUCGGUCGGGUGGUGGCUGCCUCUACGGGCAGCGCGUGCCGGGCCAGCGCGUGUGUCCGCCUCUCCCCACCCCGCUCCCCGUCCCCUUCUCCCCUCACCUACCGCACCCAGCCCCCCUCGUCAGGGGCAGCGGGGCCGCUCCCUCAGUCCUACCCUCGCUUGCCCACCCUCACCGCCCUUGUUUCUCCUUCCCCUGCUCGGGGCAGCCGCCGCCAUGAUCCUGCUGGAGGUGAACAACCGCAUCAUCGAGGAGACGCUCGCGCUCAAGUUCGAGAACGCGGCCGCCGGAAACAAACCAGAAGCUGUAGAAGUAACAUUUGCAGAUUUUGAUGGCGUCCUUUAUCAUAUUUCAAAUCCUAAUGGAGACAAAACAAAAGUGAUGGUCAGUAUUUCUUUGAAAUUCUACAAGGAACUUCAGGCACACGGAGCUGAUGAGUUACUAAAGAGAGUAUACGGAAGUUUCUUGGUGAA